AGGGCCUCGACCUGACCCGGCUUGGCGUGCUCUGCAGGGCAGCUGUCCCCCACCGCUUCUGAUUGAGCGACGCAGGUGGAAAGGAGGCCUGGGGAUGGUCGCAGCUUUCGCCCAGCCCCCUCAUCAAGUGACAGCUCCUCUUCUUGGAGCCACAAGUGAGAGCUGAGUAAGAGGUGGACACCAAAGGAAGAAGAGCGACCCUGAAAAGGGUUCAUCAAGCACCAGAAGUGAUAAUUCUUACUAAACAACAUACAUCCCAGUCCAUCAAUAAUCAUCUAAUAAAAGUCUACAUGUGCUACAUUGUGCUAAGACACAGUAUAACAAGAUUAAAAAAUAGCAAGCCCAAUUUUAUGGAAAUAUAGAAAUAUGUGAAGGAGUAAAGUCAAACAAGCCAAGAAAGAUAAGUUACCAAGAAUACAAUACCCAUAGCUACUACAGCAACAUACAUGGAAAGAACAAUAAAAUUAAAAUAAACCCUGGGUAAAGAUUCAAAUUCAGCUUUACUUCAAAGAUGGAA